rnacentral:rRNA from 1 species
GCUGGCGGCACGCCUAACACAUGCAGUCGAACAAGUAGCAUACUUAGUGGCAGACGGGUGAGUACAUGUAGGUAUCUGCCCUUUGGCCUGGAAUAACACGAGGAAACUUGUGCUAAUACCGGAUAAGUCUUCUACGGAGAAAGCUUUAUGCACCAUUGGAUGAGCCUGCACUUGAUUAGUUUGUUGGUGG